GACGAACGCUGGCGGCGUGCUUAACACAUGCAAGUCGAGCGGUAAGGCCCUUUCGGGGGUACACGAGCGGCGAACGGGUGAGUAACACAUGGGUGACCUGCCCUCAGCUCUGGGAUAAGCCUGGGAAACCGGGUCUAAUACUGGAUAUGACUCCAUGACGCAUGUUGUGGGGUGGAAAGCCUUGUGCGGCUGAGGAUGGGCCCGCGGCCUAUCAGCUUGUUGGUGGGGUGAUGGCCUACCAAGGCGACGACGGGUAGCCGGCCUGAGAGGGCGACCGGCCACACUGGAACUGAGACACGGCCCAGACUCCUACGGGAGGCAGCAGUGGGGAAUCUUGCGCAAUGGGCGAAAAGCCUGACGCAGCGACGCCGCGUGAGGGAUGACGGCCUCG
rnacentral:rRNA from 1 species